UACAGAGGUGGCAAGCGUUGUUCGGAAUUACUGGGCGUAAAGGGCGCGUAGGUGGCCUUUUGAGUCAGACGUGAAAUCCCCCGGCUUAACCUGGGAACUGCGUCUGAUACUGGAAGGCUUGAGUUCGGGAGAGGGAUGUGGAAUUCCAGGUGUAGCGGUGAAAUGCGUAGAUAUCUGGAGGAACACCGGUGGCGAAGGCGGCAUCCUGGACCGACACUGACACUGAGGAGCGAAAGCCAGGGGAGCAAACGGG
rnacentral:rRNA from 1 species